rfam:Streptomyces sp. NRRL S-1521 P341contig93.1, whole genome shotgun sequence.
CUUCAGCGAGCCCAGCCACAGGGGCUCUCCGGCGCGGUCCUGGCCGUAGGUGGCGAGGAGGGCCUGGGCCUC